AUGGAGCAUCUCCUCCGCCUCGCCCAGUUCUUGCUCGCCUCAGCUCGCGGGGAUGGAGCAGGACUCCGCCGCCCGUCCCCUCGCACCAGGCCCAGGACGACGGCGCCGCCCGUCCCCUCGCACCAGGCCCAGGACGACCGCGCCGUGGACGGCUGGGCGCGGGACGACAGGGAGCCCCAUCCCCUACGGCAACCCGGUGGAGUGCCCCGAGGCCACGUCUCGGCCGCCGCCUCCGUGCAUCCGCUCGUGCGCGACCCUGAACCACGACUCGGCGGGGAGGAGCCCUGCGACGACCUCGACGCCUGCUCCCGUGACCUUAUCCACUGCGUCCGCAAGAAAGCGUUCAACCUGAUGGACAUCAAGGGAACCACUUUGAGUAGGCAAUUGUUUGUGUGGAGGAGAAUGCAUGGUACUAAAGCUAACCUUCCUCCAGUCCAGAUGAAAUCAAGGCAACUGGGUCUUCUAUCUUCAAACAUCAAUUUGGAAGGGCAUUACAAUGAGGAGGACAGGAUAAGAACAGCGGCCGGCCGACACCGUGUGAUGUGUAGCAUCACAUGGAGUACAUCUGGCAGCUAA
rnacentral:rRNA from 1 species